UACGUAGGGGGCAAGCGUUGUCCGGAAUCAUUGGGCGUAAAGCGCGUGUAGGCGGUCCGGUAAGUCCGCUGUGAAAGUCGGGGGCUCAACCCUCGGAUGCCGGUGGAUACUGUCGGGCUUGAGUACGGAAGAGGCGAGUGGAAUUCCUGGUGUAGCGGUGAAAUGCGCAGAUAUCAAGGAGGAACACCGGUGGCGAAGGCGGGUCUCUGGCCGAAUGACUGACGCUGAGGAGCGAAAGCGUGGGAGCGAACAGAU
rnacentral:rRNA from 1 species